rnacentral:rRNA from 1 species
CCUACGGGAGGCAGCAGUGGGGAAUUUUGGACAAUGGGGGCAACCCUGAUCCAGCAAUGCCGCGUGAGUGAAGAAGGCCCUCGGGUUGUAAAGCUCUUUUGUCAGGGAAGAAACGGUGGUUCCUAAUACGAGCUGCUAAUGACGGUACCUGAAGAAUAAGCACCGGCUAACUACGUGCCAGCAGCCGCGGUAAUACGUAGGGUGCAAGCGUUAAUCGGAAUUACUGGGCGUAAAGCGUGCGCAGGCGGUUAUAUAAGACAGAGGUGAAAUCCCCGGGCUCAACCUGGGAACUGCCUUUGUGACUGUAUGGCUAGAGUGUGUCAGAGGGGGGUAGAAUUCCACGUGUAGCAGUGAAAUGCGUAGAUAUGUGGAGGAAUACCGAUGGCGAAGGCAGCCCCCUGGGAUAACACUGACGCUCAUGCACGAAAGCGUGGGGAGCAAACAGGAUUAGAUACCCUGGUAGUCCACGCCCUAAACGAUGUCUACUAGUUGUCGGGACUUAAUUGUCUUGGUAACGCAGCUAACGCGUGAAGUAGACCGCCUGGGGAGUACGGUCGCAAGAUUAAAACUCAAAGGAAUUGACGG